AACUAUAACUCUCUUAAGGUAGCGAAAUGCCUUGCCGUUUGAUUGACGGCCUGCAUGAAUGGUGUAACGAGAUCCCCACUGUCCCUAGCUAGAAUCCUCCGAACACUCUUUUCUGGUGCAAAAGCCAGAGACUCCUAGUGGGAAGCGAAGACCCCGUGAAACUUUACUGUAGCUUGUUACUGCGUUGUAUGUUUUGAUGUGCAGUGUAGGUGGGAGUUGCUAAAGCGUAGACGCCAGUUUACGUGUAGACGACAAUGAAACACCACCCUUCGAAGUGUACAAUGCUUACUUCAUUUGAAAGACACUAGCAGGCGGACAGUUUGGCUGGGGUGGCACUCCGCCGAAAAGAUAUCGGCGGAGCCCAAAGGUUGGCUCACCAGGUUUAGGAAUCCUGGGGAGAGUGCAAGAGCAAAAGCCAGCCUGAUUGGAUCCCUAACAAGACAGGAUCCAAACGCGAAAGCGUGGUCUAGCGAACACCCGAAGCUCAUUGAUAGGGCUCGGGUAUGACCGAAAAGUUACUCCGGGGANNAAAGGGAUCGUGAGCUGGGUUCAGUACGCUGUGAGGCAGUAUGUUUGAUAUCUACUAGGAGUGUUGGUAUCUGAGAGGAAGGACUUUCUAGUACGAGAGGAACGAAAGUUCGGCGCCUCUGGUCGACCUGUUGUCUAACAAGGCAGGCAGGGCAGCUACGCGCUACGGGAUAAAGGCUGAAAGCAUCUAAGCCUGAAACCCUCCCCGAAAAGAGAUACCUUGAGCCCUCAUAGAAGAUGAGGUUGAUAGAGUGGAUGUGUACGCAUCAAGGAAACGAGAUGUUCAGCAUGCCACCACUAAUAGCUC
rnacentral:rRNA from 1 species